UGUACCUUUAACUCAGUCCUGUGAGGCUGGCAAGGUAGCGUGAAUAGUUGAUUAAUUAAGCUGGGGACAAGAAACUCCUCAUCUUCCGCAACUCAUAAGGUUGGCGGGGAUGGAUGGAAUCCUUAGCGGUUAAUCAUGGGCUCCUUGCGAAUACGCAAGGAGUCUUUUUUCA
rfam:Paenibacillus sp. Leaf72 contig_7, whole genome shotgun sequence.